rnacentral:rRNA from 1 species
UACGUAGGGUGCAAGCGUUGUCCGGAAUUAUUGGGCGUAAAGAGCUCGUAGGCGGUUCGUCGCGUCGGCUGUGAAAACCUGAGGCUCAACCUCAGGCCUGCAGUCGAUACGGGCGGACUUGAGUACUGCAGGGGAGACUGGAAUUCCUGGUGUAGCGGUGAAAUGACGCAGAUAUCAGGAGGAACACCGGUGGCGAAGGCGGGUCUCUGGGCAGUAACUGACGCUGGAGGAGCGAAAGCGUGGGGAGCGAACAGG